GUAACCAGAUGAUGGUUCAGAAUGAAGUGUAGCUGCUGUCUGGUUGCUUUCAGCCAAAGAUGGUUGGCAAGGAAAGCUGCUCCGCUUUGUAACAUCACUGUACAAACUACAAGUGGAGUCCAGUUGGAUGGUUGAAGAGUCCACCAAGACUUCCUUUAGUUCAUUGCAGCUCUUUUACUUUUAGGUGCAGUGUUGAUUGCUGGAGGGCUUUAUGUGAUGUUUGUUACUGAAGUUGUGUUUUUAAAAUGAAGUGCUGAUGUGGCUUUUUGUGAUGAUGCAGACGUGUAAAAUUACAAGACAGAAACCCAAAGGUGAAUGUCUUCUGUGAUUGACUCACUUUAAGAAGAACAACUGAAAGCCACCUUCCUGCUUUAAGUCAUGCACAGGCUGCAACGUUUGCACGGUUAACUUCACUCAGACUGUAAAGACAAGAUAAAAAUGGGUCAUUUUGUCAGAGCACGUUUUAACUUUGUGUUUAUUAACAGAUGUACAUGCUGUGGCUAUCAGUGCAACGCCAGCACCUUCAACUGACCUCCUGACUGAGCCUCUCACCAAUGGUAAUAACGAUGGCACAACGAUUGACAACGGUAAGUGUUGUCCUCCGUAGAUAUGUUGCAUUGAGCUGCAUUACGUAGUUCUGCGUUGUGUCGUGAUGCAUGCAUAUAAAAAUAACUUCAUCAAUGUUGUAGACAGUUAGCCUGUAUACAGUCUGGGGCCAAUAUUGCCAUUUUUCCGAUCAUCUGACGGCGUCGUUAUUGUUAUUAACUGAUAAAUUAAAUGCUCUGCCUUCGA